UCCGGGAAACCGGGGCUAAUACCGGAUGGUUGUUUGAACCGCAUGGUUCAGACAUAAAAGGUGGCUUCGGCUACCACUUACAGAUGGACCCGCGGCGCAUUAGCUAGUUGGUGAGGUAACGGCUCACCAAGGCACGAUGCGUAGCCGACCUGAGAGGGUGAUCGGCCACACUGGGACUGAGACACGGCCCAGACUCCUACGGGAGGCAGCAGUAGGGAAUCUUCCGCAAUGGACGAAAGUCUGACGGAGCAACGCCGCGUGAGUGAUGAAGGUUUUCGGAUCGUAAAGCUCUGUUGUUAGGGAAGAACAAGUGCCGUUCAAAUAGGGCGGCACCUUGACGGUACCUAACCAGAAAGCCACGGCUAACUACGUGCCAGCAGCCGCGGUAAUACGUAGGUGGCAAGCGUUGUCCGGAAUUAUUGGGCGUAAAGGGCUCGCAGGCGGUUUCUUAAGUCUGAUGUGAAAGCCCCCGGCUCAACCGGGGAGGGUCAUUGGAAACUGGGGAACUUGAGUGCAGAAGAGGAGAGUGGAAUUCCACGUGUAGCGGUGAAAUGCGUAGAGAUGUGGAGGAACACCAGUGGCGAAGGCGACUCUCUGGUCUGUAACUGACGCUGAGGAGCGAAAGCGUGGGGAGCGAACAGGAUUAGAUACCCUGGUAGUCCACGCCGUAAACGAUGAGUGCUAAGUGUUAGGGGGUUUCCGCCCCUUAGUGCUGCAGCUAACGCAUUAAGCACUCCGCCUGGGGAGUACGGUCGCAAGACUGAAACUCAAAGGAAUUGACGGGGGCCCGCACAAGCGGUGGAGCAUGUGGUUUAAUUCGAAGCAACGCGAAGAACCUUACCAGGUCUUGACAUCCUCUGACAAUCCUAGAGAUAGGACGUCCCCUUCGGGGGCAGAGUGACAGGUGGUGCAUGGUUGUCGUCAGCUCGUGUCGUGAGAUGUUGGGUUAAGUCCCGCAACGAGCGCAACCCUUGAUCUUAGUUGCCAGCAUUCAGUUGGGCACUCUAAGGUGACUGCCGGUGACAAACCGGAGGAAGGUGGGGAUGACGUCAAAUCAUCAUGCCCCUUAUGACCUGGGCUACACACGUGCUACAAUGGACAGAACAAAGGGCAGCGAAACCGCGAGGUUAAGCCAAUCCCACAAAUCUGUUCUCAGUUCGGAUCGCAGUCUGCAACUCGACUGCGUGAAGCUGGAAUCGCUAGUAAUUCGUGGAUCAGCAUG
rnacentral:rRNA from 1 species